ACUCAAAUGAAUUGACGGGGGCCCGCACAAGCGGUGGAGCAUGUGGAUUAAUUCGUCACUAACCGAAGAACCUUACCCAGGUUUGACAUCGAGGGUAAGCCUAUGAAAGUAGGCCCUCCCGCAAGGGACCCGAAGACAGGUGUUGCAUGGCUGUCGUCAGCUCGUGUCGUGAGAUGUUGGGUUAAGUCCCGCAACGAGCGCAACCCUCACCGUAUGUUGCCAGCGUAAAGUCGGGAACUCUUACGGAACUGCCCGUGCAAGCGGGAGGAAGGUGGGGAUGACGUCAAGUCGGCAUGGCCCUUACGCCUGGGGCUUCACACAUGCUACAAUGGACGGUAACAAAGGGGAGCGAGACCGCGAGGUGGAGCGAAUCCCAAAAAUCCGUCCUCAGUUCGGAUUGCAGGCUGCAACUCGCCUGCAUGAAGCUGGAAUCGCUAGUAACCGCAGGUCAGCUAAACUGCGGUGAAUACGUUCCCGGGCCUUGUACACACCGCCCGU
rnacentral:rRNA from 1 species